rnacentral:rRNA from 1 species
ACACAUGCAAGUCGAGGGGCAGCAUGAUUGAAGCUUGCUUCAAUUGAUGGCGACCGGCGCACGGGUGAGCAACGCGUAUCCAACCUUCCGUACACUCAGGGAUAGCCUUUCGAAAGAAAGAUUAAUACCCGAUGGUAUGAUGAGAUUGCAUGAUAGCAUCAUUAAAGAUUUAUCGGUGUACGAUGGGGAUGCGUUCCAUUAGGUAGUAGGCGGGGUAACGGCCCACCUAGCCGACGAUGGAUAGGGGUUCUGAGAGGAAGGUCCCCCACAUUGGAACUGAGACACGGUCCAAACUCCUACGGGAGGCAGCAGUGAGGAAUAUUGGUCAAUGGACGAGAGUCUGAACCAGCCAAGUAGCGUGAAGGAUGAAGGUCCUACGGAUUGUAAACUUCUUUUAUAAGGGAAUAAAACCUCCCACGUGUGGGAGCUUGUAUGUACCUUAUGAAUAAGCAUCGGCUAACUCCGUGCCAGCAGCCGCGGUAAUACGGAGGAUGCGAGCGUUAUCCGGAUUUAUUGGGUUUAAAGGGAGCGCAGACGGGUCGUUAAGUCAGCUGUGAAAGUUUGGGGCUCAACCUUAAAAUUGCAGUUGAUACUGGCGUCCUUGAGUGCGGUUGAGGUGUGCGGAAUUCGUGGUGUAGCGGUGAAAUGCUUAGAUAUCACGAAGAACUCCGAUUGCGAAGGCAGCACACUAAGCCGUAACUGACGUUCAUGCUCGAAAGUGUGGGUAUCAAACAGGAUUAGAUACCCUGGUA